rnacentral:rRNA from 1 species
UAGUGGCGAACGGGUGAGUAACACGUGGGCAAUCUGCCCUGCACUCUGGGACAAGCCCUGGAAACGGGGUCUAAUACCGGAUAUGACCACCGACCGCAUGGUCUGGUGGUGGAAAGCUCCGGCGGUGCAGGAUGAGCCCGCGGCCUAUCAGCUUGUUGGUGGGGUGAUGGCCUACCAAGGCGACGACGGGUAGCCGGCCUGAGAGGGCGACCGGCCACACUGGGACUGAGACACGGCCCAGACUCCUACGGGAGGCAGCAGUGGGGAAUAUUGCACAAUGGGCGAAAGCCUGAUGCAGCGACGCCGCGUGAGGGAUGACGGCCUUCGGGUUGUAAACCUCUUUCAGCAGGGAAGAAGCGAAAGUGACGGUACCUGCAGAAGAAGCGCCGGCUAACUACGUGCCAGCAGCCGCGGUAAUACGUAGGGCGCGAGCGUUGUCCGGAAUUAUUGGGCGUAAAGAGCUCGUAGGCGGCUUGUCACGUCGGAUGUGAAAGCCCGGGGCUUAACCCCGGGUCUGCAUUCGAUACGGGCAGGCUAGAGUUCGGUAGGGGNAGAUCGGAAUUCCU